rnacentral:rRNA from 1 species
GAUGAACGCUGGCGGCGUGCCUAAUACAUGCAAGUCGAGCGAACAGACGAGGAGCUUGCUCCUCUGACGUUAGCGGCGGACGGGUGAGUAACACGUGGAUAACCUACCUAUAAGACUGGGAUAACUUCGGGAAACCGGAGCUAAUACCGGAUAAUAUAUUGAACCGCAUGGUUCAAUAGUGAAAGACGGUUUUGCUGUCACUUAUAGAUGGAUCCGCGCCGCAUUAGCUAGUUGGUAAGGUAACGGCUUACCAAGGCAACGAUGCGUAGCCGACCUGAGAGGGGGAUCGGCCACACUGGAACUGAGACACGGUCCAGACUCCUACGGGGGGCAGCAGGAGGGAAUCUUCCGCAAUGGGCGGAAGCCUGACGGAGCAACGGCGCGUGAGUGAUGAAGGUCUUCGGAUCGGAAAACUCUGGUAUUAGGGAAGAACAAAUGUUGAAGUAACUAUUGACGGCUUGACGGUACCUAAUCAAAAAGCCACGGCUAACUACGUG